UACGUAGGCAGCAAGCGUUGUUCGGAGUUACUGGGCGUAAAGGGUGCGUAGGCGGCCCUGUAAGUAUGGUGUGAAAUCUCCCGGCUUAACUGGGAGGGUGCGCUAUAGACUGCGGGGCUCGAGUGUGGGAGAGGAAAGUGGAAUUCCUGGUGUAGCGGUGAAAUGCGUAGAUAUCAGGAGGAACACCGGUGGUGUAAACGGCUUUCUGGACCAUAACUGACGCUGAGGCAACGAAAGCGUGGGUAGCAAACAGG
rnacentral:rRNA from 1 species